UUGUAUCAUACACAUACGAUGGGAUACCCAAAAGAAACUGGAAUUUUGCAAUAUUAUUUUAUUCACUUAGUUUUACAUGUUUACCCUUUUAUUGCCUUGAAAGUAUUCUCCAUAUGAAGCAAUGCAUAAGUCUAGACAUGUUUUCCACUGUUCAAAGCAGUUCUGGAACACUUGCAAAAUGAUGCUUUUU